rnacentral:rRNA from 1 species
UACGUAGGGUGCAAGCGUUAAUCGGAAUUACUGGGCGUAAAGCGUGCGUAGGCGGCUUUGCAAGACAGAUGUGAAAUCCCCGGGCUUAACCUGGGAACUGCAUUUGUGACUGCAUGGCUGGAGUGCGGCAGAGGGGGAUGGAAUUCCGCGUGUAGCAGUGAAAUGCGUAGAUAUGCGGAGGAACACCGAUGGCGAAGGCAAGCCCCUGGGCCUGCACUGACGCUCAUGCACGAAAGCGUGGGGAGCAAACAGG